rnacentral:rRNA from 1 species
UACAGAGGGUGCAAGCGUUAAUCGGAAUUACUGGGCGCAAAGCGCGCGUAGGUGGUUCGUUAAGUUGGAUGUGAAAUCCCCGGGCUUAACCUGGGAACUGCGUUUGAAACUGGAAGGCUUGAGUGUGGCAGAGGGGGGUGGAAUUCCACGUGUAGCAGUGAAAUGCGUAGAGAUGUGGAGGAACACCGAUGGCGAAGGCAGCCCCCUGGGCUAACACUGACGCUCAUGCACGAAAGCGUGGGGAGCAAACAGG